rnacentral:rRNA from 1 species
GACGAACGCUGGCGGCGUGCUUAACACAUGCAAGUCGAACGGAAAGGCCCCGCUUUUGUGGGGUGCUCGAGUGGCGAACGGGUGAGUAACACGUGAGUAACCUGCCCUUGACUUUGGGAUAACUUCAGGAAACUGGGGCUAAUACCGGAUCGGAGCUCCUGCUGCAUGGUGGGGGUUGGAAAGUUUCGGCGGUUGGGGAUGGACUCGCGGCUUAUCAGCUUGUUGGGGGGGUAGUGGCUUACCCAGGCUUUGACGGGUAGGCGGCAUGAGAGGGUGACCGGCGACAUUGGGACUGAGAUAGGGCCCAGACUCCUACGGUAGGCAGCAGUGGGAAAUAUGGCACAAUGGGCGGAAGCCUGAUGCAGCAACGCCGCGUGCGGGAUGACGGCCUUCGGGUUGUAAACCGCUUUCGCCUGUGACGAAGCGUGAGUGACGGUAAUGGGUAAAGAAGCACCGGCUAACUACGUG